UCCACACUGACACCAGCAAACAGAGUAAACAACAACAGAGUAAACAACAACAAACAGGAGCUUAUAUUUGGGACAGUUGUGGUUCUUACCCAGUGUGCCAGAACAACAGAGAACCAUCAGAACCUCCACUGGCAAACAGACCUUCAUGGACGGGAUGCCAGGCUACAGCUGAAGACACAAACACAGCACAGGUGUGACUCUCAUCUGUGUGAGUGUACAGGUGUGACUCUCAUCUGUGUGAGUGUACAGGUGUGACUCUCAUCUGUGUGAGUGUACAGGUGUGACUCAUCUGUGUGAGUGUACAGGUGUGACUCAUCUGUGUGAGUGUACAGGUGUGACUCAUCUGUGUGAGUGUACAGGUGUGACUCAUCUGUGUGAGUGUACAGGUGUGACUCUCAUCUGUGUGAGUGUACAGGUGUGACUCAUCUGUGUGAGUGUACAGGUGUGACUCAUCUGUGUGAGUGUACAGGUGUGACUCAUCUGUGUGAGUGUACAGGUGUGACUCAUCUGUGUGAGUGUACAGGUGUGACUCUCACCUGUGGCCUCCUUCUUGUGUCCUCUGAACACCUGCAGCUCCUCCUUCAGGUUUCUGAUGUCGAACAGUUUGCACAGGUGAUCCCGUGACGCCGUCAGCAGCCAGUUACCGUUGAGGUUCCACUUCACCUCCAUCACAGUGUUCUUGUGGGCGUGUCUGAGGACAGACAGGUGUGAUCAGCUGACUGCCUACAGCGUAAACCAUGAUGUCAUCAUGUACAAACUCAUUUUAUUGGUUCCUGCUGGUGUCGGUUCGUCUGAUGUUAGAACCUGAAGCUUGAUCUCCCACAUUAACAUUCCAUCAGUCAGAACAUCAUCCACCUGUCCACUUCACCUAUGAGUCUCAUUUAAAAUGCUCCAAAAAUAAGCUGCAGCUGAUUCUGUAGAACCAGAACAGAACCUCCUCCUGAUUCUGGUUCUCCAGGACCGACUCAGCUGAAACCAACAGGGAAACAUUCAGAGAGUUUCAGGUUGAACUGCAGGCAGUGUUUCCUCAGAGAGACUAAAAUAAAUGCAGCAGAACCAGAGGAGCAGGUUGGUGGAGAUCCAUCCAGCAUGAAGAAACAUCUACAGAUGAUGAGCAGAGUAGAGAGGAAAAGUCUGGAAAUAUGGAGAUAGAAAAACAUCUACAGGAUGAGGAGAUGGUAGGAGUUUAAGAGGAACCAGCUGGAGGUUCUGGAAGAUGUUUACAUCUUCCAGAACCUCCAGCUGGUUCCUCCUGAAGCUUCUACCAUCACCAGGACCAGGAUGACUGAGAACAUCCACAGAAACUUGAGAUUUAACAUCUGAGGAAACAUGCUGGAUGAUGGAUGAGGGUUUUUUUUUAAUUAUAAUUGUAAAAUAAAUAAAAAAAUGUUUCCUCUG